rnacentral:rRNA from 1 species
GACGAACGCUGGCGGCGUGCCAAAUACAUGCAAGUCGAACAUAGUGGGGACGGGUGAGUAACACGUGGGUAACCUCCCAUCAGAGGGGAUAACACUUGGAAACAGGUGCUAAACCGAUACUGAUGGAUGUACCCGCGGUGCAGUAGCUAGUUGGUGAGGUGACGGCUCACCAAGGCCACGAUGCAUAGCCGAACUGAGAUGGCGAUCGGCCACACUUGUACUUAGACACGGCCCAGACUCCUACGAGAGGCAGCAGUCGGGAAUCUUCUGCAAUUGACGAAUUUCUGAACGAGCAACGCCGCGUGAGUGAAGAAUGUUUUCGGAUCGUAAAACUCUGUUGUUAGAUAAGCGGUAUCUAACCAGAGAGCCACGGCUAACUACAUUCCAGCAGGCGCGGUAAUUC